rfam:Lachnospiraceae bacterium CAG:215 genomic scaffold, scf62
AGAAUGGAUAGAGGAGCGGACUUCAUCAGUAGCGCGCAGGAUUGAAACCGGAAUGAACUGUGCGGGAAAGGGGAGGCUGCCGAAGAGAUCGGACUUUUCCGGAGAGACGGUUUCUGGGCUGUUCGCAGAAGAUGCGGCAGACUGUCACAGAAGUGGAGCGCUAUCAGGAUA